CGAAAUGUAGCUUAACUUAAAGCUCCCCGUUUACACCGAGAUGUUAUCUGUUUAAUCCAGGUCAUUUUGA
rnacentral:tRNA from 1 species